rnacentral:rRNA from 1 species
UACGGAGGAUGCAAGCGUUAUCCGGGAUUCAUUGGGGUUUUAAAAGGGUGCGUAGGCGGGGCUAUUAAGUCAGUGGUGAAAUCCUGGCAGCUUAACUGCAGAACUGCCGUUGAUACUGAUAGUCUUGGAGUUUGGUUAAGGUAGGCGGAAUGUGUAAUGUAGCGGUGAAAUGCUUUAGAUAUUACACAGAACACCAAUUUGCGUAGGCAGCUUACUGAGCCGACACUGACGCUGAGGGCACGAAAAGCGUGGGGGAUCAAACCAGGGA